CGAUAUCGUUCGGUAAAGAACGCUUACUGAUGAAGGCUAUUGUUUCGGACGGAGCACGGAUGUGUGGAAGCGCAGGAGGUAUUCGAAUCUCCGUCGCGACGAAGAUCAGGUUACUUCGGCUGAGACCCCAGUCGCCAGAUGGAGGAAUUGGCACCACGCUGAUAUCGCUGUAAAAGCUUUGAUUAUUAUCGGAAAGUUAAGAUUAGCACCGAAAUUCUCCGAUUGCAAAUAAUGACGCUUGCAAUUUGUUUGGAUAUGUGUGUUCCAUUAUCAUUCAAAUAUUUAUCUGAUGCGCGUAACGAAAAAUAUUGCGUGAGUUCCCCGAAAUUGUUUAUUACAAAUACGAAAUUAAAAGAGAACAGUACAAUAGACGAAUCAUUAAAAUGAUAAUUCCCAUCAUAAAAUAGAUGAGAAAAUUAUCGUCUACAAAUAAAGUAACAUAGAUUGAUAAUUUAAUUGAUUGUUUCAAAUAUUUCAUAAAGGUCAAUAUUUUACAUUCAUUUCAAACUGUCAUAUUCCGAUUAUUUGUUAUUUAUUCCGCAUGAUAUCAAUAUUUUAUUUUAUUUGUCCGUUUCCUGUUCCACUUGUUAAUAUUAUCAACUAAUAUUCUGUUAUCAAGAAGAUUAUCAAGAUUAUAACUGGUUUAAAGCAGAUUAAGAACCAGUAUAUAUUAUUAUACAUUUUGGUGCAUAAAAUUCGUGCAUAAUAUAUAUUUUUUGUUGAAUGUUUAAAAAGUAAUGCGAGAUUGCAGA